rnacentral:rRNA from 1 species
AUACGGAGGGUGCAAGCGUUAAUCGGAAUUAUUGGGCUUAAAGGGUGCGUAGGCGGAGCGGUAAGUGAGGUGUGAAAGCCCACGGCUCAACCGUGGAAUUGCGCUUCAUACUGCCGUGCUAGAGGGAGACAGAGGUAAGCGGAACUGAUGGUGGGGCGGUGAAAUGCGUUGAUAUUAUCAGGAACACCGGUGGCGAAAGCGGCUUACUGGGUCUCUUCUGACGCUGAGGCACGAAAGCUAGGGUAGCGAACGGGAUUAGAAACCCCGGUAGUCC